rfam:Fibulorhizoctonia sp. CBS 109695 unplaced genomic scaffold FIBSPscaffold_39, whole genome shotgun sequence.
GCCCCUAUGGCGUAGUGGUAGCGCGUCGCACUUGUAUCAGCAUUGCUUGAGUACAUGCGAAGGUCAUUCGUUCAAUCCGGGUUGGGGGCA